UUAAGUUAGAAAGGGCGCACGGUGGAUGCCUUGACACUAGGAGUCGAUGAAGGACGGGACUAACGCCGAUAUGCUUCGGGGAGCUGUAAGUAAGCUUUGAUCCGAAGAUUUCCGAAUGGGGAAACCCACCAUACGUAAUGGUAUGGUAUCCUUAUCUGAAUACAUAGGGUAAGGAAGACAGACCCAGGGAACUGAAACAUCUAAGUACCUGGAGGAAGAGAAAGCAAAUGCGAUUUCCUGAGUAGCGGCGAGCGAAACGGAACAUAGCCCAAACCAAGAGGCUUGCCUCUUGGGGUUGUAGGACAUUCUAUACGGAGUUACAAAGGAACGAGGUAGACGAAGCGACCUGGAAAGGUCCGUCGUAGAGGGUAACAACCCCGUAGUCGAAACUUCGUUCUCUCUUGAAUGUAUCCUGAGUACGGCGGAACACGUGAAAUUCCGUCGGAAUCUGGGAGGACCAUCUCCCAAGGCUAAAUACUCCCUAGUGAUCGAUAGUGAACCAGUACCGUGAGGGAAAGGUGAAAAGCACCCCGGAAGGGGAGUGAAAGAGAUCCUGAAACCGUGUGCCUACAAAUAGUCAGAGCCCGUUAACGGGUGAUGGCGUGCCUUUUGUAGAAUGAACCGGCGAGUUACGAUCCCGUGCGAGGUUAAGCUGAAGAGGCGGAGCCGCAGCGAAAGCGAGUCUGAAUAGGGCGUUUAGUACGUGGUCGUAGACCCGAAACCAGGUGAUCUACCCAUGUCCAGGGUGAAGUUCAGGUAACACUGAAUGGAGGCCCGAACCCACGCACGUUGAAAAGUGCGGGGAUGAGGUGUGGGUAGGGGUGAAAUGCCAAUCGAACCUGGAGAUAGCUGGUUCUCUCCGAAAUAGCUUUAGGGCUAGCCUCAAGGUAAGAGUCUUGGAGGUAGAGCACUGAUUGGACUAGGGGCCCCUACCGGGUUACCGAAUUCAGUCAAACUCCGAAUGCCAAUGACUUAUCCUUGGGAGUCAGACUGCGAGUGAUAAGAUCCGUAGUCGAAAGGGAAACAGCCCAGACCGCCAGCUAAGGUCCCAAAGUAUACGUUAAGUGGAAAAGGAUGUGGAGUUGCUUAGACAACCAGGAUGUUGGCUUAGAAGCAGCCACCAUUUAAAGAGUGCGUAAUAGCUCACUGGUCGAGUGACUCUGCGCCGAAAAUGUACCGGGGCUAAACGUAUCACCGAAGCUGCGGACUGUUCUUCGAACAGUGGUAGGAGAGCGUUCUAAGGGCUGUGAAGCCAGACCGGAAGGACUGGUGGAGCGCUUAGAAGUGAGAAUGCCGGUAUGAGUAGCGAAAGAGGGGUGAGAAUCCCCUCCACCGAAUGCCUAAGGUUUCCUGAGGAAGGCUCGUCCGCUCAGGGUUAGUCGGGACCUAAGCCGAGGCCGAAAGGCGUAGGCGAUGGACAACAGGUUGAUAUUCCUGUACCACCUCCUCACCAUUUGAGCAAUGGGGGGACGCAGGAGGAUAGGGUAAGCGCGGUAUUGGAUAUCCGCGUCCAAGCAGUUAGGCUGGGAAAUAGGCAAAUCCGUUUCCCAUAAGGCUGAGCUGUGAUGGCGAGCGAAAUAUAGUAGCGAAGUUCCUGAUUCCACACUGCCAAGAAAAGCCUCUAGCGAGGUGAGAGGUGCCCGUACCGCAAACCGACACAGGUAGGCGAGGAGAGAAUCCUAAGGUGAUCGAGAGAACUCUCGUUAAGGAACUCGGCAAAAUGACCCCGUAACUUCGGGAGAAGGGGUGCUCUGUUAGGGUGCAAGCCCGAGAGAGCCGCAGUGAAUAGGCCCAGGCGACUGUUUAGCAAAAACACAGGUCUCUGCGAAGCCGUAAGGCGAAGUAUAGGGGCUGACGCCUGCCCGGUGCUGGAAGGUUAAGAGGAGCGCUUAGCGUAAGCGAAGGUGCGAAUUGAAGCCCCAGUAAACGGCGGCCGUAACUAUAACGGUCCUAAGGUAGCGAAAUUCCUUGUCGGGUAAGUUCCGACCCGCACGAAAGG
rnacentral:rRNA from 1 species